rnacentral:lncRNA from 1 species
UGAGAGAGAGGAUGAAGAUGAAAGAGAAACAAAUUGGAUAAGUGAGGAAGGUGGAUUAUGGUUAGGUCAAUAUUUAUGAUUUUUUUUUCAAUUGGGGCUACUGUAGGGAUGACAAAGAGAAACCAAUAAAAAAUUAACAUCAACAUCAUCAAUUAUUUUGUUAUUAGAGUGGAAAACAAAUAAACGAAUUGAACAAGAGCAACAAAUUAUGGUGUCGCGAGUUACUCUAUGUGGAUGAGAGAAAGGAUGAAGAUGAGAGAGAAACAAAUUGGAUAAGUGAGGAAGGUGGAUUAUGCUUAGGUGAGUAUUUUUGAUAUUUUUCAAUUGGGGCUACUAUAGGGAUGAUAAAGAGAAAGUUAGAGUGAGAAAGAUGAAAGAGAAAGUGUUGAGAGCAAUGAAGGAUGAGAGAGAGUGAGUAAGGGUUUGGGGAGUUUCUUAUUUUUUUUAGUUUUGAGAUUAAAAAUUAUUCAAAUACACUUAACCUUAAAACUUAAAAUUCGUAAUAUAUGAGGAUAUUUUUGUCUAAUGAAACUCAAGUACACAUUACUGAAAAAGAACAUACACACACACACACACACACACACACAUAUAUAUAUA